rnacentral:rRNA from 1 species
GACGAACGCUGGCGGCGUGCCUAAUACAUGCAAGUUGAACGCAACAAAGACGCCAGAGCUUGCUCUACCGUUUUUGUUGAGUAGCGAACGGGUGAGUAACGCGUGGGUAACCUGCCUUAUAGCGGGGGAUAACUAUUGGAAACGAUAGCUAAUACCGCAUAACAAUAGAGAUUGCAUAAUCUUUAUUUGAAAGUGCCAACUGGUACACUAUGAGAUGGACCCGCGUUGUAUUAGCUAGUUGGUAGUGUAAUGGACUACCAAGGCGAUGAUACAUAGCCGACCUGAGAGGUGAUCGGCCACAUUGGGACUGAGACACGGCCCAAACUCCUACGGGGAGGCAGCAGUAGGGAAUCUUCGGCAAUGGACGAAAGUCUGACCGAGCAACGCCGCGUGAGUGAAG